AGUCUUCUGUAACCACGUCGAUAUUUCAUCACACACUAUGCCACAAAGGCUGAUGAUACUCCUAAGAUAAGUGAAGCA
rnacentral:pre_miRNA from 1 species